GCCGAAGUGGUGGAAUUGGUAGACACGCACGUUUCAGGGGCGUGUGUUCGCAAGGACAUGGGGGUUCGAGUCCCCCCUUCGGCA
rnacentral:tRNA from 1 species